rnacentral:misc_RNA from 1 species
GUGAAUCAUCGAAUUUUUGAACGCAAAUUGCACUCUCUUCGGAGAGUAUGCCUGUUUGAGGGUCAGCCUAAAAAAAAUCGACGUAGUCGCUGUUUCGCGGUGACAUUCGUCGGAAAUUGGAUCAUCUUAAACCUUGGGGUUUUAAGCGGCUUAAAAUUUUCUUUACGAUUCCGCGAACGGUUCUAAGAUUUUACUUCCUUCACACGGUUAAGGUUACCAUCUUUAUUUGAC